AUUGAACGCUGGCGGCAGGCCUAACACAUGCAAGUCGAACGGUAACAGGAAACAGCUUGCUGUUUCGCUGACGAGUGGCGGACGGGUGAGUAAUGUCUGGGAAACUGCCUGAUGGAGGGGGAUAACUACUGGAAACGGUAGCUAAUACCGCAUAACGUCGCAAGACCAAAGAGGGGGACCUUCGGGCCUCUUGCCAUCGGAUGUGCCCAGAUGGGAUUAGCUAGUAGGUGGGGUAACGGCUCACCUAGGCGACGAUCCCUAGCUGGUCUGAGAGGAUGACCGGCCACACGGGAAGUGAACAACGGUCCCGACCCCUACGGGGGGCAGCGGGGGGUAAUAUAGCACAAGGGGCGGAAUCCUGAUGAAGCCAGGGCGGGUGUAUGAAGAAGGCCUUCGGGUUGUAAAGUUCUUUUAGGGGGGUAAAAGGGAUAAAAGUUAAAACCUUUGCACGUUGACUUUACCCGCAAAGGAAGCACCGGCAAACUCCUG
rnacentral:rRNA from 1 species